AUUGAACGCUGGCGGUAUGCUUAACACAUGCAAGUCGAACGCUGAAGGGUGCUUGCACCUGGAUGAGUGGCGGACGGGUGAGUAAUGCAUAGGAAUCUGCCUAUUAGUGGGGGACAACGUGGGGAAACUCACGCUAAUACCGCGUACGUCCUGAGGGAGAAAGCGGGGGAUCUUUGGACCUCGCGCGAUUGGAGCGGCCGAUGUCGGAUUAGCUAGUAGGUGAGGUAAAGGCUCACCUAGGCGACGAUCCGUAGCGGGUCUGAGAGGAUGAUCCGACACACUGGGACUGAGACACGGCCCAGACUCCUACGGGAGGCAGCAGUGGGGAAUUUUGGACAAUGGGGGCAACCCUGAUCCAGCCAUGCCGCGUGAGUGAAGAAGGCCUCGGUUGUAAGACUCUUCGGUCCGGGAACGGAAAGUACGUAGGUCGUC
rnacentral:rRNA from 1 species